CUUACAUUUAACAAACCAUUUUAUUGCAGACGACUUCGAUCGGGACAACAUUGAGGUGACAUUUAUGAUAGAGGAAACAAGAUCGACUGUGAUGUUAGAUCCUGGCGUUUCAAAUAUCUUGCUGGCUCCAGGUCCAAGUAAAGAAGUUGUUCUCACGAUGAAGAAGGUUUCCUCAUUGGCUUUGGUGUAACACAUUAGCGGACAAGUUCUAACUCUUUCGGCAAUAUUUGUUAAUCAAAUCAUCACACGUAUAUUGUCGUCAUUUCUGACGUAACUGUCAUCUUAAGCGUAUUAACUAUUUAUAUUGUUGUAUAAACCCAAAUAAAGAUAUUGUUUAAAUAAUUUG